AUGUAUUAUGACCAGAGCCUACCUGGAAUCAUAAGGAGCAAGGCAGACCGUGAGCCAAUCCAUUACUGGCUACCACAGACACUGACUGCUUCUGGCAGGUAGGAAGAAACUCUCAGAAAGAGAACACAAACUUCUCACAGACCAUAACCACUAUGCACCACUAUACAUC
rnacentral:lncRNA from 1 species